GCCGCCGCGGUGGGCGCUGGGAAGUGGAGGCCGCGGCCGCGCCGUGCUUCCGGGCUGCCGUGGGUGGGGUCCCCAUGGGGCAGCGGGCUCAAGCGGGUAAACGGUGAAGGUGAAGAGACGGAACUGCUGAGGCCCCGGAGGCCCCAGCGCAGCACCGAAGACAAAGCCGGCCGGGGUUCCCAUCACAGCUCCGCCUCCUGGGGCCUUGCGCCGGGGCGGGGUUUCACCCUAGCGGUCAGCGUCCCCAAAAGUAAAAAAGCCUGCUGGGAGCCAUUCCACCAAUGUCGAUACCCCUUGACAAAGUCAGGGCAAAACGGCCAUGCAGAUUGCAAAGCAGUCUCACUCUGGAAAAUACCGACAUUUCCUUCUGUUGUUUAUAGUGCCUAUAAUUGGAUUGGGGUACAUGGGCUUUUUGAAAAUUGUACAGGAUGAUUCUCAAUCUGGGGAAAUAAUAGGGGCUAUGAUGAUGACUGUGCAGGACAAUUCAAACAAUGGAAUUUCAAUGAAAGUACUUGGAAAUAAAUCAAAAGAUCAGGGCCCCCAUGGUGUGUCAUGCCUCAAGCCCUAAAGACAACGUGUGCCGUUAGCUCUGUAAGAAACAUAAGAUAGAUAUCUCUAGGUUGACUGCUUUCCUUGUAGGUAAUAGGAACAAUAAUCAGCCCACUGUUGGGUUCCAGGUGCCAGUGGGUUGGGACCCUCGUGACCUUCUCUUUUUGCGCUUGUUUUUGUGAAAUAGUCUUUGGUUAGGAGCUGUUCUUAGGGAUAGAAUUGAAAAUGGGUUAAGGGGUAAUGAUUAACUAAGUAUAAGGCUAAGGGGUAAUUUAAAAAAUCAUCAGGGUGAUGAUGUUCAGCCAAGUCGAAAAAGGCCCAGGCCCGUGACCACACCCUGGGUAUGGAAACAGGUUAACAAUGUAAACAAUAAAGAUGUAAGAGUCAACUUGGCCACAAUGUGAAAUCACCUGUUUGAUAAAAUUGUAUAAAUACCACAAAUAAAGAAAGCCUUGCAGAGUUGCCUGCAUGGUGAUCAAACCUUGA